AUUGAACGCUGGCGGCAUGCCUUACACAUGCAAGUCGAACGGUAACGGGCCUUCGGGUGCCGACGAGUGGCGAACGGGUGAGUAAUACAACGGAACGUGCCCGAUCGUGGGGGAUAACGAGGCGAAAGCUUUGCUAAUACCGCAUACGAUCUACGGAUGAAAGCAGGGGACCGCAAGGCCUUGCGCGGACGGAGCGGCCGAUGGCAGAUUAGGUAGUUGGUGGGAUAAAAGCUUACCAAGCCGACGAUCUGUAGCUGGUCUGAGAGGAUGAUCAGCCACACUGGGACUGAGACACGGCCCAGACUCCUACGGGAGGCAGCAGUGGGGAAUUUUGGACAAUGGGCGCAAGCCUGAUCCAGCCAUGCCGCGUGCAGGAUGAAGGCCUUCGGGUUGUAAACUGCUUUUGUACGGAACGAAAAGCCUUCUUUUAAUACAGGAGGGUCAUGACGGUACCGUAAGAAUAAGCACCGGCUAACUACGUG
rnacentral:rRNA from 1 species